UUUAUUCUUUUGAGUUCCUUAGGAAUGUGAUGACCCCUGGGGAGAGAGUCUAUGCUGAGAGCCAUCAUUAAUGACAAUUGAAAGAUCAGAUGUGGCUACUCCCUGUCCA